UACGGAGGGGGCUAGCGUUGUUCGGAAUUACUGGGCGUAAAGCGCACGUAGGCGGCUUUGUAAGUUAGAGGUGAAAGCCCGGGGCUCAACUCCGGAAUUGCCUUUAAGACUGCAUCGCUAGAAUUGUGGAGAGGUAAGUGGAAUUCCGAGUGUAGAGGUGAAAUUCGUAGAUAUUCGGAAGAACACCAGUGGCGAAGGCGACUAACUGGACAUGUAUUGACGCUGAGGUGCGAAAGCGUGGGGAGCAAACAGG
rnacentral:rRNA from 1 species